rnacentral:rRNA from 1 species
CCUACGGGUGGCAGCAGUAGGGAAUAUUGCUCAAUGGGCGAAACCCUGAAGCAGCAAAGUCGCGUGGAGGAUGAAGGCUUUAGGAUUGGAAAAUCUCUUUGUGAGAGAAGAUAAUGACGGUAUGUCAGGAAUAAGCACCGGCUAACUCCGUGCCAGCAGCCGCGGUACUACGGAGGGUGCAAGCGUUACUCGGAAUCACUGAGCGUAAAGGGUGCGCAGGCGGGCUUGUAAGUCAGGAGUGAAAUCCUGUAGCUUAACUACAGAACUGCAUUUGAAACUAUGAGUCUUGAGUGUGGGAGAGGUAGGUGGAAUUCGUGGUGUAGGGGUAAAAUCCGUAGAUAUCACGAAGAAUACUGAUUGCGAAGGCAGCCUACUGGAACAUUACUGACGCUCAUGCACGAAAGCGUGGGGAUCAAACAGGAUUAGAUACCCGGGUAGUC